UGCUUAUAUAACAACACUCAAGAGGAAGCUGCUAACGAGCCCAUCUGAUGGUUUAUGCCAGCUGUUUUAGUUGAGGCAUGCUGGAUGCAACUGAGCUCCACCUUCUUCGUCGAGCAAAGCAUCUGGAAAAUGUCACAGUCUGAAGAAUAUUGGGCAUUCAAAAUCUGGCUCCAAGUUUCCUCAUGAACCAGUCUGCUCCUCUGCACCUGCGGAAAGGGACAUGUGCUGCAAAGUGCUCUGCAAACCCCUCCUCAGUGAGCCCCAUGGUUAGCCAGUCUCUUGACUCUGCAUGAGGCAGCAACUCCUGCUGAGUUCCUAUGUUUUCUCAGAUAAAGACUGAAUGGAUAUUUUUCCCCUAGAGGACCCUUUUUACAGAU